rnacentral:rRNA from 1 species
GACGAACGCUGGCGGCGUGCUUAACACAUGCAAGUCGUACGGUAAGGCCCUUUCGGGGGUCCACGAGUGGCUAACGGGUGAGUAACACGUGAGUAACCUGCCCACAACUUUGGGAUAACGCUAGGAAACUGGUGCUAAUACUGGAUAUGUGCUCCUGCUGCAUGGUGGGGGUUGGAAAGCUCCGGCGGUUGUGGAUGGACUCGCGGCCUAUCAGCUUGUUGGUGGGGUAGUGGCCUACCAAGGCGGCGACGGGUAGCCGGCCUGAGGGGGUGACCGGCCACAAUGGGACUGAGAGACGGCCCAGAAGCCUACGGGAGGCAACAGUGGGGAAUAUUGCACAAUGGGGGCAAGCCUGAUGCAACAACGCCGCGUGCGGGAUGACGGCCUUCGGGUUGUAAACCGCUUUCAGCAGGGACGAAGCUUUUUGUGGCGGUACCUGCAGAAGAAGCACCGGCUAACUACGUG